GACCUCGCGCUAUCGGAUGAGCCUAUGUCGGAUUAGCUGGUUGGUGAGGUAACGGCUCACCAAGGCGACGAUCCGUAGCUGGUCUGAGAGGAUGAUCAGCCACAUCGGGACUGAGACACGGCCCGAACUCCUACGGGAGGCAGCAGUGGGGAAUAUUGGACAAUGGGCGCAAGCCUGAUCCAGCCAUGCCGCGUGUGUGAAGAAGGCUUUCGGGUUGUAAAGCACUUUCAGUGGGGAAGAAGGCGUGCCGGCGAAUACCCGGUACGGACGACAUCACCCACAGAAGAAGCACCGGCUAACUCCGUGCCAGCAGCCGCGGUAAUACGGAGGGUGCAAGCGUUAAUCGGAAUUACUGGGCGUAAAGCGCGCGUAGGUGGUCGCUCAAGCCGGGUGUGAAAGCCCCGGGCUCAACCUGGGAAUGGCAUCCGGAACUGGGCGGCUAGAGUGCAGGAGAGGAAGGUAGAAUUCCCGGUGUAGCGGUGAAAUGCGUAGAGAUCGGGAGGAAUACCGGUGGCGAAGGCGGCCUUCUGGCCUGACACUGACACUGAGGUGCGAAAGCGUGGGUAGCAAACAGGAUUAGAUACCCUGGUAGUCCACGCCGUAAACGAUGUCGACUAGCCGUUGGGAGCCUUGAGUUCUUAGUGGCGCAGUUAACGCGAUAAGUCGACCGCCUGGGGAGUACGGCCGCAAGGUUAAAACUCAAAUGAAUUGACGGGGGCCCGCACAAGCGGUGGAGCAUGUGGUUUAAUUCGAUGCAACGCGAAGAACCUUACCUACCCUUGACAUCCUGCGAACCCGAGCGAGAGCUUGGGGUGCCUUCGGGAGCGCAGAGACAGGUGCUGCAUGGCUGUCGUCAGCUCGUGUUGUGAAAUGUUGGGUUAAGUCCCGUAACGAGCGCAACCCCUAUCCCUAUUUGCCAGCGGUUCGGCCGGGAACUCUAGGGAGACUGCCGGUGACAAACCGGAGGAAGGUGGGGACGACGUCAAGUCAUCAUGGCCCUUACGGGUAGGGCUACACACGUGCUACAAUGGCCGGUACAAAGGGACGCAAGACGGCGACGUGGAGCGAAUCCCAGAAAGCCGGCCUCAGUCCGGAUCGGAGUCUGCAACUCGACUCCGUGAAGUCGGAAUCGCUAGUAAUCGUGAAUCAGAAUGUCACGGUGAAUACGUUCCCGGGCCUUGUACACACCGCCCGUCACACCAUGGGAGUGGACUGCACCAGAAGUGGUUAG
rnacentral:rRNA from 1 species